UCCGUAGGUGAACCUGCGGAAGGAUCAUUACCGAGUGUAGGGUUCCUAGCGAGCCCAACCUCCCACCCGUGUUUACUGUACCUUAGUUGCUUCGGCGGGCCCGCCAUUCAUGGCCGCCGGGGGCUCUCAGCCCCGGGCCCGCGCCCGCCGGAGACACCACGAACUCUGUCUGAUCUAGUGAAGUCUGAGUUGAUUGUAUCGCAAUCAGUUAAAACUUUCAACAAUGGAUCUCUUGGUUCCGGCAUCGAUGAAGAACGCAGCGAAAUGCGAUAACUAGUGUGAAUUGCAGAAUUCCGUGAAUCAUCGAGUCUUUGAACGCACAUUGCGCCCCCUGGUAUUCCGGGGGGCAUGCCUGUCCGAGCGUCAUUGCUGCCCAUCAAGCACGGCUUGUGUGUUGGGUCGUCGUCCCCUCUCCGGGGGGGACGGGCCCCAAAGGCAGCGGCGGCACCGCGUCCGAUCCUCGAGCGUAUGGGGCUUUGUCACCCGCUCUGUAGGCCCGGCCGGCGCUUGCCGAACGCAAAUCAAUCUUUUUCCAGGUUGACCUCGGAUCAGGUAGGGAUACCCGCUGAACUUAAGCAUAUCAAUAAGCGGAGGAAAAGA
rnacentral:rRNA from 1 species